UCCCUGGAUUUCGCCUGCCUUCUUUCUCUAGUUGCAAGCACUUGGUCAGAGCAAUUGUAGAAGAUUAUGAGCAGGAAACCUAGCCCGGCCUACAUUGAACAAGCAAAGAUUCAAGAACAAAGACCUUGGAUUGCAUGUCGCCAGCCGAAAACAUUCUGCAAGUUCAUCAGAAAAAAAAAGGCAUUGAGUCACCUUCAAAAUUCCAUGGAUGUCCAUAGAGCUCCUUAACCUGCCCUGCAGUAAUGUCUGAUGCAAAUACAAAAAAAGGAAGAAAGUGAUGAAGUCACCCAACGAGAUGGAAAUAAUGGCAAUAACAGGGAAGAAACAUAUGGAAAAAAGACAAAGACAAUCCAAGAAACAGGAGUGGAAGAAGCUAA